rnacentral:rRNA from 1 species
AUGCAAGUCGAGCGAAUCGAUGGGAGCUUGCUCCCUGAGAUUAGCGGCGGACGGGUGAGUAACACGUGGGCAACCUGCCUAUAAGACUGGGAUAACUUCGGGAAACCGGAGCUAAUACCGGAUACGUUCUUUUCUCGCAUGAGAGAAGAUGGAAAGACGGUUUACGCUGUCACUUAUAGAUGGGCCCGCGGCGCAUUAGCUAGUUGGUGAGGUAAUGGCUCACCAAGGCGACGAUGCGUAGCCGACCUGAGAGGGUGAUCGGCCACACUGGGACUGAGACACGGCCCAGACUCCUACGGGAGGCAGCAGUAGGGAAUCUUCCGCAAUGGACGAAAGUCUGACGGAGCAACGCCGCGUGAACGAAGAAGGCCUUCGGGUCGUAAAGUUCUGUUGUUAGGGAAGAACAAGUACCAGAGUAACUGCUGGUACCUUGACGGUACCUAACCAGAAAGCCACGGCUAACUACGUGCCAGCAGCCGCGGUAAUACGUAGGUGGCAAGCGUUGUCCGGAAUUAUUGGGCGUAAAGCGCGCGCAGGUGGUUCCUUAAGUCUGAUGUGAAAGCCCACGGCUCAACCGUGGAGGGUCAUUGGAAACUGGGGAACUUGAGUGCAGAAGAGGAAAGUGGAAUUCCAAGUGUAGCGGUGAAAUGCGUAGAGAUUUGGAGGAACACCAGUGGCGAAGGCGACUUUCUGGUCUGUAACUGACACUGAGGCGCGAAAGCGUGGGGGAGCAAACAGGAUUAGAUACCCUGGUAGUCCACGCCGUAAACGAUGAGUGCUAAGUGUUAGAGGGUUUCCGCCCUUUAGUGCUGCAGCUAACGCAUUAAGCACUCCGCCUGGGGGAGGUACGGCCGCAAGGCUGAACUCAAAGGAAAUUGA